UACGGAGGGGGCUAGCGUUAUUCGGAAUUAUUGGGCGUAAAGGGCGCGUAGGCGGCCAUGCGUGUCUUCCGUGAAAUCCCUCGGCUUAACUGAGGACGUGCGGAAGAAACUGCAAGGCUCGAGUCCGGGAGAGGGGGGUGGAAUUCCCAGUGUAGCGGUGAAAUGCGUAGAUAUUGGGAGGAACACCGGUGGCGAAGGCGGCCCCCUGGACCGGAACUGACGCUGAGGCGCGAAAGCGUGGGUAGCAAACGGG
rnacentral:rRNA from 1 species